rnacentral:rRNA from 1 species
CUACGUGCCAGCAGCCGCGGUAAUACGGAGGGUGCAAGCGUUAAUCGGAAWUACUGGGCGUAAAGCGCACGCAGGCGGUUUGUUAAGUCAGAUGUGAAAUCCCCGCGCUUAACGUGGGAACUGCAUUUGAAACUGGCAAGCUAGAGUCUUGUAGAGGGGGGUAGAAUUCCAGGUGUAGCGGUGAAAUGCGUAGAGAUCCGGAGGAAUACCGGUGGCGAAGGCGGCCCCCUGGACAAAGACUGACGCUCAGGUGCGAAAGCGUGGGGRGCAAACAGGAUUAGAUACCCUGGUAGUYCACGCUGUAAACGAUGUCGAUUUGGGGGUUGGGCUUUAAGCUUGGCGCCCGUAGCUAACGUGAUAAAUCGACCGCCUGGGGAGUACGGCCGCAAGGUUAAAACUCAAAUGAAUUGACGGGGGCCCGCACAAGCGGUGGAGCAUGUGGUUUAAUUCGAUGCAACGCGAAGAACCUUACCUACUCU